GAUGAACGCUAGCUACAGGCUUAACACAUGCAAGUCGAGGGGUAACGAGAGGAAAGCUUGCUUUCCUUGUCGACGACCGGCGCACGGGUGAGUAACGCGUAUCUAACCUGCCCCCAACUAGGGAAUAACCUUGCGAAAGUAAGACUAAUACCCUAUAAUUUCCUCAGAUGUCAUCUGACGAGGAAUAAAGAUUUAUCGGUUGUGGAUGGGGAUGCGUCUGAUUAGCUUGUUGGCGGGGUAACGGCCCACCAAGGCAACGAACAGUAGGGGGUAUGAGAAGAAGGUCCCCCACAUUGGAACUGAGACACGGGCCAAACUCCUACGGGAGGCAGCAGUGAGGAAUGUUGGUCAAUGGGCGGAAGCCUGAACCAGCCAAGUAGCGUGCAGGAUGACGGCCCUAUGGGUUGUAAACUGCUUUUAUACAGGAAUAAAGUUAGCCACGUGUGGUUAUUUGUAGGUACUGUAUGAAUAAGGACCGGCUAAUUCCGUGCCAGCAGCCGCAGUAA
rnacentral:rRNA from 1 species